rnacentral:rRNA from 1 species
GAUUUAGUAAACAGAAGCCUCGGUGGAAGAUUACUAAUGAGAGUGGCGAACGGGUGAGUAACGCGUGAGCAACCUGCCUAUGACAGUGGGAUAGCCUCGGGAAACCGGGAUUAAUACCGCAUAAAAUCGUAGAAACACAUGUUUCAACGGUCAAAGAUUUAUCGGUCAUAGAUGGGCUCGCGUCUGAUUAGCUAGUUGGUGAGAUAACAGCCCACCAAGGCGACGAUCAGUAGCCGGUCUGAGAGGAUGAACGGCCACAUUGGAACUGAGACACGGUCCAAACUCCUACGGGAGGCAGCAGUGGGGAAUAUUGCACAAUGGGGGAAACCCUGAUGCAGCGACGCCGCGUGAACGAAGAAGGUAUUCGUAUCGUAAAGUUCUGUCCUAUGGGAAGAUAAUGACAGUACCAUAGAAGAAAGCUCCGGCUAAAUACGUGCCAGCAGCCGCGGUAAUACGUAUGGAGCGAGCGUUGUCCGGAAUUAUUGGGCGUAAAGGGUACGCAGGCGGUUUAAUAAGUCGAAUGUUAAAGAUCGGGGCUCAACCCCGUAAAGCAUUGGAAACUGAUAAACUUGAGUAGUGGAGAGGAAAGUGGAAUUCCUAGUGUAGUGGUGAAAUACGUAGAUAUUAGGAGGAAUACCAGUAGCGAAGGCGACUUUCUGGACACAAACUGACGCUGAGGUACGAAAGCGUGGGGAGCAAACAGGAUUAGAUACCCUGGUAGUCCACGCCGUAAACGAUGAGUGCUAGGUAUCGGAAAAAUUCGGUGCCGCAGUUACACAUUAAGCACUCCGCCUGGGGAU